UACGUAGGAUGCGAGCGUUAAUCGGAAUUACUGGGCGUAAAGCGUGCGCAGGCGGUGAUGUAAGACAGAUGUGAAAUCCCCGGGCUUAACCUGGGAACUGCAUUUGUGACUGCAUCGCUGGAGUGCGGCAGAGGGGGAUGGAAUUCCGCGUGUAGCAGUGAAAUGCGUAGAUAUGCGGAGGAACACCGAUGGCGAAGGCAAUCCCCUGGGCCUGCACUGACGCUCAUGCACGAAAGCGUGGGGAGCAAACAGG
rnacentral:rRNA from 1 species